UACGGAGGGGGCUAGCGUUGUUCGGAAUUACUGGGCGUAAAGCGCGCGUAGGCGGCUUUGUAAGUUAGAGGUGAAAGCCCGGAGCUCAACUCCGGAAUUGCCUUUAAGACUGCAUCGCUAGAAUUGUGGAGAGGUGAGUGGAAUUCCGAGUGUAGAGGUGAAAUUCGUAGAUAUUCGCAAGAACACCAGUGGCGAAGGCGGCUUACUGGUCCGGUUCCGACGCUGAGGCGCGAAAGCGUGGGGAGCAAACAGG
rnacentral:rRNA from 1 species